rnacentral:rRNA from 1 species
UACGAAGGGGGGCUAGCGUUGCUCGGAAUCACUGGGCGUAAAGGGUGCGUAGGCGGGUUCUUAAGUCAGGGGUGAAAUCCUGGAGCUCAACUCCAGAACUGCCUUUGAUACUGAAGAUCUUGAGUUCGGGAGAGGUGAGUGGAACUGCGAGUGUAGAGGUGAAAUUCGUAGAUAUUCGCAAGAACACCAGUGGCGAAGGCGGCUCACUGGCCCGAUACUGACGCUGAGGCACGAAAGCGUGGGGAGCAAACAGG